UACGUAGGUCCCGAGCGUUGUCCGGAUUUAUUGGGCGUAAAGCGAGCGCAGGUGGUUUAUUAAGUCUGGUGUAAAAGGCAGUGGCUCAACCAUUGUAUGCAUUGGAAACUGGUAGACUUGCGUGCAGGAGAGGAGAGUGGAAUUCCAUGUGUAGCGAUGAAAUGCGUAGAUAUAUGGAGGAACACCGGUGGCGAAAGCGGCUCUCUGGCCUGUAACUGACACUGAGGCUCGAAAGCGUGGGGAGCAAACAGG
rnacentral:rRNA from 1 species